rnacentral:snoRNA from 1 species
GGGCGAGGAUUAUAGACAUAUUUGCUACUUCUGAAGUAAAAGCAUGAAGUCAAUAAAUAUCACCAAGAUCUAUGAGCCC